CCUACGGGAGGCAGCAGUAGGGAAUCUUUCACAAUGGGCGAAAGCCUGAUGGAGCAACGCCGCGUGCAGGAUGACGGCCUUCGGGUUGUAAACUGCUUUUAUAAGCGAGAAAUAUGAUGGUAACUUAUGAAUAAGGACCGGCUAACUACGUGCCAGCAGCCGCGGUAAU
rnacentral:rRNA from 1 species